AUUGAACGCUGGCGGCAUGCCUUACACAUGCAAGUCGAACGGCAGCACGGGGGCAACCCUGGUGGCGAGUGGCGAACGGGUGAGUAAUGCAUCGGAACGUGCCCUGAAGUGGGGGAUAACGUAGCGAAAGUUACGCUAAUACCGCAUAUUCUGUGAGCAGGAAAGCAGGGGAUCGCAAGACCUUGCGCUUUAGGAGCGGCCGAUGUCGGAUUAGCUAGUUGGUGGGGUAAGAGCUCACCAAGGCGACGAUCCGUAGCGGGUCUGAGAGGAUGAUCCGCCACACUGGGACUGAGACACGGCCCAGACUCCUACGGGAGGCAG
rnacentral:rRNA from 1 species